AGCUUUGCGCAGUGGCAGUAUCGUAGCCAAUGAGGUUUAUCCGAGGCGCGAUUAUUGCUAAUUGAAAACCAUAUAAACAACAUAUAAAGAACUUACCAAAAAAUUCCUGAAAGGGAGAAGAGUGUAGGUACAUAUAUGCUUC